ACCUCAUCACCUUCGUAAACGUAAACGCACUAUCUUUUGAUUUCCUCAUCACGUAACACCGCAUAACUGAGUCACCUCCGUAAACCUCCGCACACCGCACACUUUUUCUCAAAUUUGAAGUACCAACUCAAUGAGAUAGAAGACAAUGCUUGUAAUCUGAAAAAUGUAAAAGCAGUUGGUUGGAGGAUGAAUUGCUAUGGGCUGCUUCUUGGCUAUAUAAGGCGAGUGGAGAAAGCAAGUACUUGAGCUACAUCAUUGGCAACCAAGGUUGGAGUCAUGCGCUGUCUGAAUUCAGCUGGGAUAACAAAUUUGUUGGGGCUCAGACAUUACUAACGGAGGUCAUUAUAUAUUUACAUAAAUAGAGGUACAAGAAAGAAAAUUAGAAAAUACACUAGUGAUCAAAGGAAAAUCUUUUUUGCUGGCUUGUGUUAUGUAUUUUAUAUUUUAAAUCAAAUUGAUCUAGAACAAUGUUAAAAUAAUAUAAAUAAAAAGAAAGUUAAUGUGGUGGAACAACUUGUUGUUAUAAUGAUUCAGAUGUCAUACAAACUGAUUAGUCUUUAAUUUAUCUUAUUUUAUAUGCAAAUGCGUAUUAGGAUGUGUAUUCUUCUAUGAAGUCACAAUUCUAGAUAUAUACUAUUAUAAUAUUAGAUGGUUUCAAUGGGCCAAACUGAUCAUUCUGUCUCGUGUCAAGAUUCACCUGCUUUGUAUGUUGAAAUUGAUGACCGAGUAAUUUUUCUAAGAAGAAAUGGUUCAUGUCUGGUUUAAAUUUUCAAAUCUGGUUGCACAUGUAUUUGCCAAAGAUCCUAAUGUAUAGACUAUAUAUCUAGUUAGCCAAGGCUUCUUACUAUGAAGCAAUAAAAUUUUAUUUACUAGAGUCUGGUUGGUGUACUGUCUGGAUAUGACUUGAUAAGCCUGACAUGACCCCUUAUCAAGGUCCACUGCUUCUCUUGAGCUUAGAGCUUAAAGAACUUUGUACCACCUGGGUACAACUCAGUCAAACCUGAUGUGCAUUCCCUUAUCAGGCUUCAUUGCUUCUGUUGACCUCCCCCAAGCUGAUAUCAGAACUGGUCAUGGUUUAUGCUCCCAUAAAAUUUUCCAUCAAUGUACCCCUGGUAUAAACCUAUGAGCAAUUGAAUGUUGAUUGCAUCUUCACCCUUUAGACUCACUGGUGAGGCUAGUCUAGGCCACCCUUUCUGUGCUAAUCUGGUCAAUGAGUUUUGUGCAUUGUUAUCAAUCCUGGAUAGUGGCAUGGAGUGCCUGACCCCAAAACUGCUAUAACAGGAAAGUGUGUAAUGAAAUGACCACUAUUAUGAAGUUUAUAGAUAUAAAUUAAAUAAUUUAUAUUUAUACAUAUAUAUAAAUGCUCAAAAAUUAAAAAAAUAAUACACAAAAUUAAAGACAUUCAUAAUUGAUAAUUAAAAUUCAUAAUUUUAAGUCAAAACACAGAAUUUAAUAACAAGAGUCAAGUAAUAUAUAAGGAAAAAUAGAAAGUAUAGCAAGAAAGGGUAAUCAAACCACAUUCACCAGUUCCUGAUGCUGAAGGUGAAUGUUGCAGCAGUCCCUGAUGGUGAUGGUGAACAAUGUGAAGCCAAUGCCGAACAAAAGAGACGGCUAUUUUCUAUUUUUUUUCAUAGGUUUGAUGCCCUUCUUGGAACAGAUAAUGCCUAACCCUUUCCAUGGGAAUGAAAAAGGGCCAAAACAUAUGCCACUUGCAUUAAUUGAUUUCUAGUUUUUUCUUCUUAAAAAUGAACUUGAACGAAACAUUGGACUAUGUCAUUCACAUCUUCAAAUUCCCAAGAAUAAAUUAAUAAAGCUCAAAACAAAUGCUCCCUAAGAUGAUUUAUGGAAUGUACAGUCAGCAUGGGACAUCUAUUUUAGUGUCUUGAUUCUUGAAGAAUGUCAUUGUGGAUUUCUUGCUAACUAUAAAUAAGAUGUGUAUGCACUUUAAUUACAUAUACAUGCUUCUGCAUUCAUUUUGUUUUUUUCCAAGCAGUUGCUGUUUAAGUUUUGACUAUUUGUGAUGACUUCUGACCAAUGACCAUGUCUAGAUUUUUCAAAUAUAACAUAAGAGUUUAGAUUCCAGUGUAUGGCUUGUUUAUAUGUAGGCAUGACAAUCUAACCCGCCCCGUAGGAGUUCAUUUCAUGGUUUAAUUUUUGUUCUUAUGGAUGAAAGUCACAAAAUGUUAGGAGUUCAUUCUGAUAAAAUAGAUGAUAUAUAAUUUGGAUUCUUACUUCAUAGUAAACAAUUUUUAACAACCUGUAUAGAACUACUUUCUUAAGUCAUCAAGAUGGAAAAUAUGCAUGACUGAUUUGUAUAAUCUCAUUAUGGACUUCAGAUUUUUUUUUUCUUCCUUUUACCUGGGUGGUGUAACACGGUAUUAUGUGUAUCUAAUGUCUUUCUCGUAGAUUUAAAGGUUAUGAUUUGAACAUUGAUUUGUGCUGUAAGUAGCUAGAUUGAUCGGCAAGGGAUUACUAGUAACUCUCCCCUGCUUCAACACCUUUAACCUUUUAGCCCCUCUAAAUUUCUUAUGCAUUGAUUAUUUUGUUUCCAUCUUCUUCCUUUUAAUAUAUAUUAAUCUAUCUAUGAGAA